UUAUGAUUUCUAAUAUCUAAGAUGAUAUCUAGUCUUAUAUCAAGAUACCAAUAUAAUAUUGAUAUAUUGCCCAGCCCUGCUAUAAAUUAACAGUAUGUGUCACAGGUGUGCAGUUAUCCGGUAUUUAACAACAGUUUGGGAUAUUAGCCAGCCAAAUAUAAGUGUGAACUGUGGUAAAAAGCUGUUUAAGAACUGCUAAAAGUCACAGGGUGCAGUUGUAGCCUGAAGACACAUUAUAAAGCUCGCUGUCCAUUUCCAGUAAUUCACCUGUCAGUCAAACUGAGGGGGCAUUUUAACGACAGCAACAGGUGUCUGCCGCCAGAGCCAAAAGAGCAGAAACUGUCUAUCAACUGCGGCGACGAAGGUAAAACUGAACAUAUUUGAGUAGUUUAAACAACAAGUCGUGUUUAAUAAACGCAAAGCAACCGGUUGGGUGAGUUAAUCCCACUCCCGUGACCCGGCGGCUCGGAAUACUUGAGUCUCUCUUUAAUUCAGCGUCACCGUUCAAACACCGACGAAAUACACUAAAGUCCCUCCGCUAACCGGCACCUCGUGAUUUAGUUUAACAGUUCGUCCAUUUCAAGACAAAAAAGUUGGUCAAAGUAAAGUUUUCAUGUCUGCAAGAACUCACCUUGGGACUCGGGAGGAGAUGCGUCGCUGCCAUCCUGGUCCGCCAUUUCUCCUGACGUCAGCUGAGAGGGAUCAACGGCAGGCAGCCGGAGCGACCUGCUGGAAAGAUCCCGAGACACUACCGGGCACCCUCCUACGGACAGUAAAAUGGCUACAGAUUGGCGCAGGGAGAACUGCAACCAUAGCAACCAGCUGUUUGGCAAUUCCACUGAUGGAGGAGGUGGAGGGAGGAGAUAUUGGCCUACAAACCCCUCCAGACAAAGCCACCUUCUGCUCCUCUUCUUUUUGUUUUUGUGGCUAAUGUCUGUUCUGUUUUUUUAUUGUUGUAUGUUGUUUGUGUCAGAAGCCAAGAAGGUUAAACAUGAGGUACAGAGUUAAAGUCAGUAGGUGGUGAUUAAGCUUGGGGAGACCUUCAGGGUCAGAUGUGUUAUGUGUUCACAUGUGCAGGAUGAAAGCCUCUCCAAACUGUCUGUAAUUGGUUCCCAUGGGAUUGGGAUCUUGGGAUUCUCCCCUCACAGAAACAGCGCUUUGAUGGCUCAUCAAUAAAUCCACAUCAUGAAAAUAUACACACUGCAUUGCAUGCAUAGACAGUAUAUAUAUGUGUACAGUAUAUCGUUGCUGCCCUGAAGUGAGGAAAGACACAGAAUGAUUGUGUGUGUCUGCUUGACCUAAAUGUGUACAAGAUUUGAAGGGAAUUGAUGUCACACAUUUCCACUUUGGGAUGCUGAUCCUCCGUUGAUUAACGCUCAGGGCUCUUCAUGAAAGACCACAAUCAAGUAAGGAUGGGGGCGUGCUUCUGGGGAAUAAGCAGAUCGAGGAACUGAUUGAUUUUGAGGACAAGCUGCCUCUUUGCUCUUCACUGGUUCAUUUGGAUUAAUUUGUGUGCAUUGCACGGCCCUGCAGAAAUCAGGGUGGGGGUCAUAUAAGUUUUCAGAUUAAGCAGGCAGGUUUAACAAGCAGGAUAAACAAUCCAAGGAGAAAGUGUAUCUUUUUAUAUGUAGAGGGCUCUGGUACUAAAGCCCCUUAAAUCUUGGUUUCAAAUCUUAAGUCUUUCUAUAUGAUAUUAAAUAUCCAUGAGCAACAAAAAUGACCAACAACGUUUCAGUUUGGGGAAAAAAACAUCCAUAGGUAUAUUUAUUAUGAGUUUAACAGUCAAAACCUCAUCAUAUUUGAUUGCUGGUGGCCUGGCAACAUAAACAAACAGUCAGAUUCAGUUUUUUUUGUUGUUGUUUAUUUUUUUAAAGCUAAAUCCUGAUUGGUGCAUGCAUGUAUCUCACCUUUUUCCAACUCAGCCACUCACUUCAAACCUAUGAGCACAGACAAAAACACAAAAUUCUUAAUAUGAAAUAAUCAAAACGGAACAUUUUGUGCUCAUCUAGGGCCACAUCGCUCAUAGUGAGAAGCUGGAUGAGAAAAUAGUCUUGUAGAGCCUUUAAAGUUUUUGAAAAGGGCACUAUUCUUUAACUAAAGCUUUAACUAAGGUAAAUCACCAAAAUCGUUGUUGAGACUACCACCACUGAAAAUUUCAUUUAAAAAAAAUCAGAUCAAAUCAAAUUAGUUUUGAUACAUCGUCAUGUUGAGGUUUCUUGGGUGUAUAAACUUUCCUAUUUGUAUUUAUAACUGUACGAGACCAUUGAAGCAUGCUCUACCUGUAAUUGCAAUAUUUGUGGGAGCAGUUGAAGGCAGCAGAGCAGCUAAUAAUGUGUUGUAGAACACAGAGUGUAGAAAAUCUAGGAGAUAAUUAAGUAAACAAUGCAUAGGCUGCAAAAAUUAGUUUGCAACGGGCUUGUAGAGACAUGCUGCUAUACUGACGAUAGUAACACGUUGCCACCUACAAAAGACUCAUCUCAUCAACAGAAAAUGCAAGUAAACAGAUGUCAGUGCAGUGUCAAUAUCACUUUAGCGAUGGAUAUUCACAGCUUAUCUGCAAAUUUUCACACAACUUACAACCUUAAUAAUUUUCUUGAAUACAGAUACAUUAACAUGACGCCCGCAGAUGCUCCCAUGAAGAUAAAAUAACAUGUACUCUGGCAUUAAUAAUGAAGCACACUGCCAUGCAGAAUAACUGUUAAUGUUAUCUAGCAAUCCGCAUAAUGUAACAGUGCUUUCACAGCAGAGAUGAAGGCAGAUGAUUAACUACAGCAGGGACCCAGAGAGGUUAAUUGUUACUGCCAUGAUUGCACCACACUGUACAGCAUAUAUUUAUAUAAUCUGGACUUGUUUUUCACUCCUGUCUCUUUAUCUUAUCACUUUUCCUUUAAGACUGACUCCGUCUGCCUCGACCUCUGUCUCUCUCACUACUUUUGUCUCUGUCGCACUGUCUCUUUAUCCUCUUAUUACCUUUUAAGCAGCAGACAGCACCAUCUCUCCCUAGCAACACGUCAUUCAUGUCAUUGAUUUGACAACUGAGACCGGUUUCUUCAGCCUCACUGAUGUCAUUCAUUAAAAAAACACAGAAGCGAUUCGGAGGAUUCAUGCUCCUUUUAUUGGUCAUUGUUUUAUUAUAAGAAGAUGUAGGUCAGUCUUUUUAAAAAAAACAACAACGUAUUCUUCAAGUACAGAUUAAAUAUUAACUAUAGUUUGCAAAUCUAAACCCUUUCUCUCCUGUUGUACAAUGCUGUUGUUCAUGUCGGAUGUUGUUUGUUCACUUGUAAGAGACUAACCAUGUAGUCUGUGUUGUUUUGGUAGCAUAAUGUUAAUAACCUCUUUAAUUAUCUCUGUCUCUGCAUAAUUCACUAGAAACAGAUGGCAUAAUGGAGAAUGAUCUGAACUCACUCCCUGCAGAAAGACAGAUCCCCCACCAGGAACUCCCCCCAUGUCGUCUAAAUAGACUUGCCUUGCCUUCGGCACACACUUACAAAAACAUUACACCCACACAACAAGACAUUGUACACUGUAUCUAGGUAUGGUAUUCUUUACAGCUGACCUAUCUCAUCCCUCUGAGUAUGCACAUAAUGGGCCAAUCACAACAAGGAAAACAAACCUCAAAAACAAAGUAGUUCGUACACAAACAGGCCAGCAGACAUAUGGCUAUGUGACCCAAGUAAAUAGUGCUAUUAAUUCUAAAUCCCUGCAAUUAAUCCCUCGGGUGGUCACAGUGGUAUUGUCUGCACCGUGCUCAUAACAGCAGUGUUUACUGUCUGAUAUCCAGGCAUUUAUUGUGUUGGGUGAACAUACGGCCUGCUGAACUACAAGGCAUUAAAUACACGAGAUUUAGAUGGACUCUAUACUCAUCCCCACUGAUGUUGUCUAGUACUUUUCUAUUCUAAUGAUGUGGGAUAAUACAAAAAACAGUAAAUAAGAACUAAUAGUGUCUAUAUAAUCAUGUUUGACUUCUUAAGAAUCUUGUAGAUACAUUAUUAAUGUAAAACUAUCUAGUGUAUAAUAACUAAACAAAGGGGAUGGAAAGUAGGGCUCUUGUUCAAUCCUGAAACUGCAUAGUGAAUUAUGCAUCAUAAUAUUUCAUAAGUUAAUUAGUACAAUACAAUGGCUACCAUAUUACUUUGUUCACUCAAUCAUCUACCAUGAGUAAUCACACAGCAGUUAACUAAAAUAAAUGAUAGUAUAAAGGAUUUGAUUCUUACUGAAACUGCUUCAGAUGGCUGCAUAAAGGCAAUCCCGACAUCUUCAGUCAGAUCUAUUGUGUAUAUUUGCCUCCAGCGGUAGUAGUAGUAGUAAUGGUAGUAACUGUAGAAAUGGUCAGGGUUGGCAACAAAGUCUGUAAACUUGUACACGCCUACAUCUUUUUCUGCAUGAAGUGCAUGAGUUGUAACAUUUAUGUCUGGAGUGCUGGAAAAUUGAAUGGGCUCAGUGUAGUGAAAUUAACAAGAUUUCCCACGAGAUGCACUGCAGGUUUUGCUCCACACACACACACGCACACACACACAUACACACACACACACACGCAAGCUGUGUAAGUGGAACACGUGCAUGUGUGUUAUAUAGUAUUUAUAAAGUGAAGAAUGAAGGUUGUUUCCAGGGAUUUAGAUGUACUUGAAGUUGGAAAAGGAUAAAAUAUUUAGUAAAACUCUUGCUGGUUACACAAAAUUACUUAAUUUGGGUAACCUUACUUUUUAUUAUUAUUAUUGUUUCUAGUAAUGUUCCUGUCUAGUGCAGGUCUAGUGUGCAGAGUAAACACAGCCCUGUAUCAUGGAGGUGACAGAAGAAAACAUCACCCCCCCUUUCUCUUUCUCUCUCUGUCUUGGUAAUAAGUGAUGCUGUAUGGCUGAAUUGCCUGUCAUGUGAACGAAUGAGCGGGCUCCAGCAGCGUGACAUGUCGCCUCAGUAAUUUAUCUGAUGCUGCGGUUAGGUUCCACAGCAGUGGAGACAAGAUGAGAUCUACUGUAUCUUCCAGUUGUAGGGAACAGGGGAGACGCUGCUGGUGUUGCCCCCCAUCUCUAAUCUCUCUCUUUACCUCCCCAGUCAUAUGUAGUGUCUGUCUGUCUUUUUCUAUUUUCAAUAUGAUCUCCCUCUCUCUCUAUGUCUUGGCAUGAUGAAUCCCUGUAUCCACAAGGGAGAGGGGUAGAAGUAGUAGAAGAGAGUAGGAGGGCGGAGAGGAAUAUAUAGGAUCAAGAAGGAGAAUGGGAAAAUGAAGAGGGGGAUGGGAAGACAUAAAAUUUACAGUAGAGUUUGCAGGGCUAUUUCACAUAAGUAGAUAUGCUGUAUUGCUUGAAAAUUUGCAGUGGCUUCAACAGUAUAAACAUAAAUUUGAUAUUAGCUCAUAAAAAUGGCUCCCCCUCACACUUGCCAAUCUCCUUUUCAUUUCAAAAAUCCUUCCUUCUGUCAAACUUCUAUUCACAUCGGUUCUGAUUUUCCGAAACAUGACCGACAGUGACUUGAGGACUCUGCUGGUGUGAGAUUUGCUGGUGUGCAGCCAGCUGACUGGCACGCUGGCGGGGGGAAGCUCCCGUCCUUAACUAUUCUCCUCACAUUCACCUUGCAGUCCCAAUUAUUCAAGGCAGCGUGCACGAGCGCUCCCUGCCAGCCAGCCCCAGCUGUGAAAAGUGGGUCAUGGAAUUUAAAGGCGCACACAGCAUUUGUUGCACUGCACAGUCGCUGGCACCGCUUUGGCUUUCUGUUCCUCACCAACGCGCAGCAGCAGUAGAUGUACAACUCUGUGUCCUGCAGUGAAAUCUACAACUACAACAAAUCCACAACUGCUACUGCGCAUUUAACAGAGCAAAUUAAAUCAAGGCUCAAUAAAGGAGGAGUAGUUGGUGCUGUAUUUUUAGAUCCGCCUAAAGCAUUUGAUACAGUCAAUCUUGAUUUUCUAACAUCAAGACUCUAAAUUUAACUUCUCAUCUAGA